rnacentral:sRNA from 2 species
UGCCCAAGUGGCCAGCGGCCAACGCCAAGUGGGAGAUUGGGAAAUCCUAUGUGGCACCCCAGCUUCCUCGAGGUCCCAUUGACGGAUUGUUUGAUUGGCGCAAACUUUGGGUAAUAAUGCGGAGGUUGAAACGCAGGGAAGGAUUGGCUACUCGAACAUUCUAAACUAGCCGCUACGCAAGGAUUCUAAGUUACAAUCAGACCACAAAAAUCCAAACCGCCAAUCAGACAACGUACGAUGCCGGGCCGUGGGGACUGGAAUUGUGCUGCACUUCAUACGGACACGCACAUUCUGGGGCAAUGAUGAACAAAACGAAACAGCAGGGUAUAGUUAUACGCGUAGUUACAAUAUCUGCCUACAUCAACAAGAGAGAGAGAGGGAGGGAGAGAGGGAGAGAGCACUGGAAAAAUUUUUUUUUUGAAAAGUGACCGAAUUGGAAAGAAGAUUGUCGCAUACCGAUCAUCCAACUCCAUAAGCCCGCUAGACCAAAUAUGAGUUUAGCCCAACCAGGCGGGAAGGGAGGGAAAUAUCAGAAAAAGCAAAACGAACAAGGCCAAAAAGAAGUAAAAAAUAAAAAAAUUAUACGGAAAACUCUCAAAGAGCAGUGGAAGUUCAAGAAAAAUUAGUUACCCAGUACGAGUGGUCUACAAUCAAUGGCUAAUCGAUCCGUCGUUCAUCUGAAAAAGAUUUCAUUUUAUCCGAUAGUUACUGGUGUCUUGUUAUAAUUGCUAUUCGCGGUUGCCGAAAUAAUACCAUAUGCUGGACCGUUGUUAUCUUGCUAGCGUGGAUUUCCAGUGGAGCAAAGCGGCGUUCUCACUGGGGGGUUUACUUUUCGUAGUUCCGGAUUCAUUUCUAUGGAUAAAGAUUAUGAACCGGGGCACGGUCCCGCUAGGAAUAUUUUAGGUUAGCGGGUUCCUGAAAACCUUCUUUUUCGAACUGAAUGUGCAGGAUGGGAUCUUUGAGAUCAUUCAACUUUUUGGGUUUCUGUUCCGUUUCUUGGUGCCUGAGACGGUUGACUCGGGAAUCAGGAUCAGCACGCAAAACUCAAUGGGAUUUUUUUUUCCCUGGCAAGAAAAAGCAAG